rnacentral:rRNA from 1 species
AUACGUAGGGUGCGAGCGUUGUCCGGAAUUACUGGGCGUAAAGAGCUCGUAGGUGGUUUGUCGCGUCGUCUGUGAAAUUCCGGGGCUUAACUCCGGGCGUGCAGGCGAUACGGGCAUAACUUGAGUACUGUAGGGGAGACUGGAAUUCCUGGUGUAGCGGUGAAAUGCGCAGAUAUCAGGAGGAACACCGGUGGCGAGGGCGGGUCUCUGGGCAGUAGCUGACGCUGAGGAGCGAAAGCAGGGGUAGCGAACAGGAUUAGAUACCCUGGUAGUCCAUGCCGUAAACGGUGGGCGCUAGGUGUAGGGGUCUUCCACGACUUCUGUGCCGUAGCUAACGCAUUAAGCGCCCCGCCUGGGGAGUUCGGCCGCAAGGCUAAAACUCAAAUGAAUUGACGGGG